ACAAAAAAAAAAAAAAAAGCGAUCAAAACACAUUCCUCCUUUAUUCUUCAGAAAUCAAUGGCAACAAUAACAAUGGAGAAAGUAGGUGUACCCAAAAAUAAACCACCCGUCUCCGCUUCCAUGGAUGCUAAGCAAAUCAUGGACGUUCUCCCUUCUUACAUCUCCCUCUACAAAAACCCAUCUCCAAACCCGAAUCCCAAUCCAAACCCUGAAAAAUCCACCAUUCUGAAAUGGUUCUCAACCCUUUCUCCUCCACAAAGACUGGCCCACCUCACCAUCGUGGACCCCACUUUCACCCAACUCCUCCUCCGCAUGCUUUCCUCUCCCCUUCACACCACCUUCUUCAUCCUCCCUGACCUCCCCUCACCUGAUUCUCUUCCUACUCUGUGCACGCGCCGAUCACGUGGUUUACUCUCUCGACUCGCUGAAUCGGACCACUCAGCUCAACUCCUCCGUUCCUCAACCCUCCUUUUCUCUUCUACCGACUCCUCCCAACUCGACACACUCACUUUUCGAGAAACCUUUGUAUUCCAUUCCUCCUUAUUUGUUUCUACAUUGGACAACCUUUCUAACUCGGGAUUCUUAACUGGGUCCACUCAGGAUUGGGCUGAGUUGGGGAAGGACUGGCCGGAGUUGGGAUGGUUCAAGGCUAAAGGGUAUUACAGUCUCGAAGCAUUCGUUGCUAAUAGACUCGAGAUUGCCCUGAGGCUGGCUUGGGUAAAUCAUAUCAAUACUAAUGGUGGUGCCAAGAAAAUUAGAGGAGUGACGAUGAAGUUGAAAGAGAAAGCAAAGAAUGCAGUUGGUUUAGGAGUCAAUGUGUAUUGGAGAAAAAUUGGGUGUGUUAAUUGGUGGGAGAAAUUGGAUGAUGGGGUUAAAAAGAAAGUGAUUAAGAUGGUAUUGGGACGAGCAGCAAAAUUUUUGACUGGUGAAAUUUUAACAGGCGUUGAUGGGAUCAUGGAGAAUGGGCUGUGGAAUUUUGAUUUAUUGGAGGAGCAACCUUCCAGAUAUAGUUAUCAUAGUACAUCCACUGCAGAGCAUAUACAAAGACACGCAGAAUUUGGCUUGACGUCUAAUCCAGCUUCUACUUCUUCGAGGCCACCUAAGAUAUUAGCACAUGUAGUUAACCGAUUGGUUGUUCUUCAGGUUAUUGUAGAUAUGGUGCUAUCUUUUCCUCAUGAUAAAGAGAAGAUUUUUUUCAGCUCUUUGGUUUCUGUAAAUUCCAUUGCAGAUCGUAUUUUUAGGAAAUUGAGAGGAUUACUUAUGGCUGUUUCACUUGAUUCCACUAAGUUUGAACUACAAGAAGAGGAGAACCACAAUACUGUGAAAAAUAAACUAAAAGAGAAGCAGGCUGCCACUCAACGCAAGAAGAAGGGAAAAAAUCGUAAUACUAAAAAGUGUAAUCCAGCUUUGAAGAAUUGUAAUGACUUUGUACAGGACAUAACUCUUGAGGAAAAAUGUCAGAUGUCAGCUUCUGAGAGCUCACUAACUUCUACUACGAAGAAGGUAAAACCAAAUAAAAAGAAGUUACGUGGAAAGUCUGUUGCUUCGAGGAACGUCCACAAUACUUCAGUUGGCCAGACUGCUUUUGCUUCCUGUUCCUGUAUCACUACACAAAGCGUGGAAGAGAUCUCUGUGAAUCAUUCCUCUUGUGUGAAAAAGAUGUCUGACGUUACUUCUAGUGGUUGUUGGAGUGACCAGCAAUGUUUAGCCUCUUGCAAUCAUGUAGUUGGCUCCAGAAAUGCUGACUUGUGUGUUAGUGAACAAGGUUGGUUGGUUUCUUCUGUAGAAGACAGAAUUAGUUCCAAUAUGGACUGCCACUUGUUUUCAAACAAGCAAAAGAGUGAUUUAGUUCCCAAGACGGAGACUGUGAAUCAAUCUGCAUAUUAUGAUGCAGGUUCCGUCAAAACUACUGAAGAGGAGUUCCAAAGUGUUUGUGAAGCUGUUUCUGAUGGAGAUCCGCCUCCAGUAAUAGUUGAGGAAUUUAACAGUGUCCCAAAAAAUGAAGAAUACAAUGAUGAACAUACAUCCAGCAACAUAGCUCAUUCUUCGUUCGCAAUUGGAAAAAAUGUGGGUAUCAAAAAUGAAACGAUUAUCCGUGAACAAAAUAACCGGAGAAGAUACAAUGGUGAAGCUGUCGUGCCUGUAUAUUAUCCCUCAUACGAGUGGCCUUCUGUGGCCCCCAUUCGUUUGGCAAGCUUCAACUCACACCAUCUUCCUCGUGCUACUGACAGAUUGCACUUGGAGGUUGGUCACAACUGGCAGAAUAAAUUCCAGCAUUCCUUUAUACAACAGAUGCAUCAGGCAAGUUCUACAAUUGGAAGGAUUAUGCCGCAGCCAUUUUCUGCAAGUUCAGAUUGGCCCCCUGUUGUACAGCCAUGUAACUACGAUCCUACAUAUAUUUCAAGGCGGAAAACUGGAACACAACAGAGCUUUGCUGUGCAAAGUCCCCAUAAAAGUGCUCCAGUUAACGAAGAUGAAAGAAAAUACUUUACAGAUUACAUGGAAUUGUCUGAACCAUUAAGUGCACAAGAAUUGACUGAUGAAUAUGAUGGCCACUGGGUAUCAGAAGAAGAAUAUGAAGUCCAUACUGUCUCUGGCAUUGACUACAACCAAUUCUUUGGAGGUGGCGUCAUGUAUUGGAAUCCUUCUGAUUAUCGAGGUGCUAAUUUUUCUAGGCCGCCUUCUCUUAGUUCCGAUGAUAGUUCAUGGGCCUGGCGCGAAGCUGAAAUGAACAGGACUGUUGAUGACAUGGUUGCAUUUUCAUCAUCAUAUAGUACAAAUGGAUUAAACUCUCCUUCCGCUAGUCCUUUUUGUUCCCCCUUUGAGUCUCUGCCUUCAGGGCACCAAACAAUUGGUUACGUUAUGUCAGGCAAUGAAGGGAAAAUGGUACAUAGUUCUACAAUGACAGACUCGGAGGUGGAAGAAAAAGUUGCUGGAUCUUUGGCGAGUAUGCCUAGUGAUAGUGAUGCUACAUCUGGAGAUACUUUUCCUUACCCCAUUCUACGGCCUAUUAUAAUUCCGAAUAUAUCUAGGGAUAGGUCAAGAUCUGAAUUCAAGGGUAGUCAUGAACUUAGAAGUCCUCGUGUUCCUCCAAACAGGCAUGAGCAUCCUCGAAUUAAGAGGCCACCUUCACCUGUAGUGCUUUGUGUUCCUCGUGCUCCGCAUCCUCCUCCACCUUCUCCUGUUGGAGACUCCAGAAAACAUAGAGGCUUUCCUACAGUUAGAUCUGGUAGCUCCAGCCCCAGGCAUUUGGGUGUUAGAGGAUGGUUACAUGAUGGAACAAACAUUGAAGAAGCUUGUGUACGUGUUGAUGGGGCUGAACUGAUUUGGCCAUCUUGGGCAAAUAAAAACUUUUCUGCUCGAAAAAUGGUUCAGCCUCUACCCGGACCAAUUCUGCAGGAUCGCCUUAUUGCAAUCUCGCAGUUAACACAUGAUCAAGAACAUCCUGAUGUUGCUCUUCCCUUGCAACCACUGGAGCUGGUACAUUGCCCAAAAAGGAAGGCAUCGCUCCCUUUGAUGCACAACCUUCUUCAUGAGGAAAUUGACUCAUUUUGUAAGCAGGUUGCUGCUGGGAAUUUAAUUAGGAGACCUUAUGUUAAUUGGGCUGUGAAGAGGGUUACACGCUCUCUUCAAGUUCUGUGGCCUCGCUCUAGGACCAAUAUAUUUGGUUCAAAUGUCACAGGCUUAUCUCUUCCAACAAGUGAUGUUGAUCUAGUGGUUUGUCUUCCUCCAGUGAGAAACUUGGAGCCUAUUAAAGAAGCUGGAAUCUUAGAGGGUCGUAACAGCAUAAAAGAAACAUGUUUACAGCAUGCUGCCAGGUAUCUUGGAAAUCAAGAGUGGGUGAAAGCAGAUUCUUUGAAAACAGUGGAAAAUACUGCGAUUCCCAUUAUCAUGCUUGUGGUGGAUGUUCCGCAUGAUACAGUGACUUCUAUUGCUGUGCCUAGUGUGCACACUCCUUUGAAUGAACAACCUCAGCUAAAUGAUGGACAAGCUGUUGAUCAAAAUGAUACUAUUAGUUCUGAUAUUGCUCCUUCACCGACGUGUUCAGAACUUGCCAACUGUGGCAGAGAUUCUAUCUCAGUUCGUCUAGACAUCAGCUUUAAAUCACCUUCACAUACAGGGCUUAGAACAACUGAGUUGGUUAAACAGCUCACUGAUCAGUUCCCUGCAGUUAUUCCCCUUGCUUUGGUGCUUAAGCAGUUUUUAGCUGACCGCAGCCUUGAUCAAUCGUACUCAGGGGGCUUGAGUUCAUAUUGUUUGGUUUUGCUGAUAACACGGUUUCUUCAACAUGAACAUCAUCAUGGCCGGCCAAUCAAUCAAAACCUUGGGAGCCUUCUUAUGGAUUUCCUGUACUUCUUCGGGAAUGUGUUUGAUCCUCGACAAAUGCGUGUCUCAUUACAAGGUAGUGGUAUAUACAUAAAUAGAGAAAGAGGAUGCAGUAUUGAUCCGAUCUACAUUGAUGACCCUCUCUUUCCAACAAAUAAUGUGGGGAAAAAUUGCUUCCGAAUUCAUCAGUGUAUCAAGGCAUUUGCAGAUGCUUAUUCUACCUUGGAAAAUGAGCUUGCCUACCUUGCAAAUGAGGUUGAUGUAAACGCAUCGCAACAAGGCCAACUGCUUCCGAAGAUCAUCCCGAGUAUAAGUCUUUCGUAGGGAUUUCAUUUGAUGUGUUUGUGUGCCUACUUUUGGUUUAAAAACUGUAUUUUGGGCCUAUUUAAGGGACAUCGCACGCUUUCGGUCGAGAAUUGACGUUACGGUAACCAUAUCACUCUCGCUACCGCAUCUACCUAGAUCGCCGCAGUUGCCGCAUUUCCCAAUAGGUGUUCAGUCUGUCGUGUCAUGUGUCCAUAUCAAGCAAGUUUGUGAGGUGAGUUCGUGCAUCAAUGAGUGGCGUCUUCUUUAUCAGGGAUACAGAUUUCUAAUGAGCCUCCACAAUGUAGAUAGUUGGUGCCGUGGUGUAUUAACGAGAGGUUGGAAUUAUAAGGAGCCCCACAAGCCCGUUUUCCAGCCAGCAGAGAAUGAGACCACAACUAUGGGAAUAUGAUGCUGAGCAGGUGAUUUCGUUUGAUGUAAAACCAUGACCUACGACCUUAAACUCUACGUUUUUGGUACUCCAUCUGCUGCUACACUAUCAGCUGGUACGCAUCUGCUGCUACACUAUCGGCUUAGGCGCCAUUUUAUGAUCAGUCUUCAGUGCUUUGGACAGAUAAAACUGGUAAUCUGAAAGUAAUCAGUUCAGUGCUACUCCUUUAAAGGGAAUAACUGUGAGCACAAAUUCUAUGGAUCUUAAUGCCCUAAAAUGUUUACAAUUUUCUGACAAGGAAUGUUGCCUUACUUUUCAGUUUACCAAUCGUCAGGCAUUGAACAAACUCAUGAAACCUCUUUCAGGCAAUUCUUGGGUCAACCUUACAAUGGCUCCAUACAGAAGUGGUUCUUUUAUGAGAUUGUUGAGAUGGAUAAUCAAAAGGCGUUUAAACCAUUUGAGGCUUUGCAAUAGAGCCCACAUAGGAGUGGUGUGGUGGUUGUUGAUAAACCUGUAGCUUUUUAGGGUUGCCAUUUAUGAUCUAUGCAAUUCAAACGUGUUUUGCGGUAGUCGAGGAAGAGAAGGAGCAACUCUUAGGUCUGCAACGCCUAAAGAGCAGAAAAAGCUACAUUCUGAAGUCCGCUGCUGAUCACUUGUGUUCCAUUUUUAUGAGCCGGAUGGCUAGCAAUAGCAUCAUCACAUAACAUGUUUAAGGAUAUUCUUAAUCUGCUGUUAGCCCUAAGUUUCUCGACAGUAGAAUAUGCUUCAACCACAUUUUUAGUUUUGUUGUCGUAUGAAUAUAUGAUUUGUUUAUUUUACUCAUUUGUUUUUAAAAGCUCUUACAACAAACUAAAUGAGGAGUAAUUUGAAUAUGUCAAGUUUAAUUGUCUUGCAAAAUCUCUAUCAGAAUUCACGGUGCUUAGAGGCUAUAUUUUUACUUACACGAUCGUAGGUUAUGGUGAUUAAGAAAUUGUCACGAUAGCAGGUAAUUCACUUUUUGAUUAAUCAAUUGAUCAACUUUGAGCUGAUUGAUUAUUGAACCAACUAGAAGAUUAUUUGAUUCCCAAAAUAAAAAAGAAUUAUUCGAUGUAUGAUGUUUAAAUAUAAAAUUAAACAACUUUAGUUUAUUGGUAUACUUUUUAGAUUGGCUUUUGAUUCAGUGACUUGCUUUCUUUUUUUUUUUUUAAUAUAAAUAUAUGACUCAAUUAUUAACUAUAUCAAAUAUAAAAAAAAAAUAAAAGGGUUUUUUAAAACAAAAUUCUAUAAGCUUCGGAAAUUUUUGAUUUUGUGUCCGUGCUUAAGAUCAAGGCUUGUUCGUUAUUAACAGCAAACAAGAGAAAUUUUACUAACAUCGAAUAAAAGAAAGGCA